rnacentral:lncRNA from 1 species
AAGCGCAGCAGGCAUCACACACAAGCCCUGGGUAACACCUGCUGCUUUGAACUGUUGGAAUGAAAGGCCGAGGAGGGGACGCUGCCAGUCCAUGCCUCGGAGAUUCACUCCUGCUGCCCGCUUGGAGCAGACUUGAAAUUGAUGUCAGCGUCUAAGCCACCCAGCUCACAGCUGGGCACAGGAAAACACGGAAUAAGGACCCAGUGAACUAAAGGGGCUGAAGCCAUGACUAGGAAUCAUAUGCAUGAAGAAGCCCAGAAGAGCCAAUCCUCCCCAGAAGGGCACCCGGAGACCACUAAGGAAGGAGGGAGGAUACCUUCUGUUCCCGUGUUCAGGCUCCAAUGUAUCCAGGUCACAGGAGGCUGCCUCUCCAGGCAGAGAAACUGAUCCGUCCCUAUCAGUGCCAGGCAGAGGGCAGGGGAUUUCGCACCUGAGCAAGGGUUGGGAUGACUCCCAAGCUUCCAUUCUCCCUGGAGUUCCUCCCGAGGGUCUCUGUGACACAGAGGAGGAAGCAGGAGCUUUCUUUGCAUAAUCAUGGUCAAAUAUUUAUAUUUGUUUAGGAUUUGCUUCUAUAGGAUGUUUUCGUCAUUCAAAUCUAUUUCCAAAAUAAAUCUGGAUCUCUUUUAUAAGAAAAUGCAAUGAAAACACCAGAAUGAUAGAGUAAGAAAAUAGAACUGAAAUUACUGAAAAGGAGCUGAGGAAUUAGAUGUUGCCAGGCAUCUGAGAUGAGAUGAUUAAAACAGCCAGGUGGCUCUGAGCUAAGGCAAAAGGCAGAAUCUGGGGCAACACAGUUUAUAUCAUCUGACAACAUAAAGCAUGCACAUCCUUUGUGUCAAGCCGCACUGCUUCCUGGAACAAACUCAAGGCAGAAUUUAUUACCUGGGUUCCUGUUUAAGUGCAUGUCGAAUGACCAGUUGAUGAAAGCCUUCAAAUAAAGUUUUGCAAAAGAACAAAGAAUGAGACGUGGAGUACUGACCCUCUCUGAAAGGAUACCAGAAUUAAGACUACAGAAGCCGACCCAACAUUUGCUCACUACCUUUUAAAUUGGACUUAAUGCCAUAUUUUAAAAAAUAACCACUUUUAAAAUAAUUUUUGCUUAUAUCAAAAGUAAUACAGGUGAAUUUCAGGAAAUUUGUAAAAUACAGCUUCAAAGAGAGAGGUGGAGAGAGAGAGAGAGA